AACGAACGCUGGCGGCAUGCCUAACACAUGCAAGUCGAACGAGACCUUCGGGUCUAGUUGCGCACGGGUGCGUAACGCGUGGGAACCUGCCCUUAGGUUCGGAAUAACUCCCCUAAAGGGGUGCUAAUACCGGAUAAUGUCUUCGUACUAAAGAUUUAUCGCCUUUGGAUGGGCCCGCGUUGGAUUAGCUAGUUGGUAGGGUAAAAGCCUACCAAGGCGACGAUCCAUAGCUGGUCUGAGAGGAUGAUCAGCCACACUGGGACUGAGACACGGCCCAGACUGCUACGGGAAGCAGCAGAGGGGAAUAUUAGACAAUGGGCGAAAGCCUGAUCCAGCAAUGCCGCGUGAGUGAUGAAGGCCUUAGGGUUGUAAAGCUCUUUUACCCGGGAUGAUAAUGACAGUACCGGGAGAAUAAGCACCGGCUAACUCCGUG
rnacentral:rRNA from 1 species